CCGUGAUCCGGGUUGCGGACAGUGUCUGGUGGGUAGUUUGACUGGGGCGGUCUCCUCCUAAAGAGUAACGGAGGAGCACGAAGGUUGGCUAAUCCUGGUCGGACAUCAGGAGGUUAGUGCAAUGGCAUAAGCCAGCUUGACUGCGAGCGUGACGGCGCGAGCAGGUGCGAAAGCAGGUCAUAGUGAUCCGGUGGUUCUGAAUGGAAGGGCCAUCGCUCAACGGAUAAAAGGUACUCCGGGGAUAACAGGCUGAUACCGCCCAAGAGUUCAUAUCGACGGCGGUGUUUGGCACCUCGAUGUCGGCUCAUCACAUCCUGGGGCUGAAGUAGGUCCCAAGGGUAUGGCUGUUCGCCAUUUAAAGUGGUACGCGAGCUGGGUUUAGAACGUCGUGAGACAGUUCGGUCCCUAUCUGCCGUGGGCGCUGGAGAACUGAGGGGGGCUGCUCCUAGUACGAGAGGACCGGAGUGGACGCAUCACUGGUGUUCGGGUUGUCAUGCCAAUGGCACUGCCCGGUAGCUAAAUGCGGAAGAGA
rnacentral:rRNA from 1 species